CCUACGGGAGGCAGCAGUGGGGAAUUUUGGACAAUGGGCGCAAGCCUGAUCCAGCAAUGCCGCGUGCAGGAUGAAGGCCUUCGGGUUGUAAACUGCUUUUGUACGGAACGAAACGGUGAGCUCUAAUACAGUUUGCUAAUGACGGUACCGUAAGAAUAAGCACCGGCUAACUACGUGCCAGCAGCCGCGGUAAUACGUAGGGUGCGAGCGUUAAUCGGAAUUACUGGGCGUAAAGCGUGCGCAGGCGGUGAUGUAAGACAGAUGUGAAAUGCCCGGGCUCAACCUGGGACCUGCAUUUGUGACUGCAUCGCUAGAGUACGGUAGAGGGGGAUGGAAUUCCGCGUGUAGCAGUGAAAUGCGUAGAUAUGCGGAGGAACACCGAUGGCGAAGGCAAUCCCCUGGACCUGUACUGACGCUCAUGCACGAACGACGGUGGGGAGGACGAACGAGGAGUAGUACUACCGUACGGUAGUACCGACCGACCCGUAACCGACUGUCUACUGGUUGGUUGGUUCGUUC
rnacentral:rRNA from 1 species